GCUGCUUGAAAAAAAAGUACUGAAUGUUGGGAACUCUGCUUGUGACAUGGCAAUGAAGGCACAUCAGUUAAGUUUCUUCACAAGUUAAUAAUGCCCAAUUGCCACUAAAUGGAACAAAGAGACAUUCCACUUUGAAGAAGACACCAUAGUAAUUUACUGUUUUUCCUUUUUGGGCUGAAGAAAAGAUAGAAUAUUUAGCCUUGAAUACUUGUAAGAAAACUAAACCUGAAUAUUAACCUGCAUACUUAGAAAUAUGUCUUAAUAUGUGAUUUCCUUUGUCUCUUAGCUGGAAAGUAUGUCUUAAAGCAUUGUUCCUGUUUACCUGCACCUUCUGUUCCUUGUUCUACUGAAUAGGAGGAACUGAGGUUAUGGGGAAUAGGGAACUAGGCAUUAACAGUACAUAGGAAAGGGACACCAUUGUAAGGCUGUGGUUGGCAAAAGAGCAAUGGUGUAAGAUUGAGGUUGGCAAGAAAACAAUGUUGCAUAAUUAUGAUCGGAAAAAGGGGCAACUGAUUCAGUUGCUAUGACAUUAGGGACAGAUCCCGAAAGUCACAUGAUUUGUGGUUUUAAGGUAUAAAAGACAAAAGCAAAUAAUAGGAAGUUGCCAAUCGGCCUCAAGCUGACCCAUUUGACUGCUUGUCUGAUUGAUCCUCAUUGCAAUGUGAUUAAUAGAAUCAGAAGGAAAAAGCUGAGCUCACCUGAUGAACCAGACUGUCAACCUGACACAAACAAUAGUCUAAUCUAGGACAGAAUUCCCGCAUAUUCUUCAAGAGAGUGACCUCAAAUCCCCUGACUUGGCCUCGGUUCACUGUGGAGACUAGAGCAUGAUUACCUCAGCAGAAUUCAAAAGCUCAUUGAUGGGACCAGCCAGGCAGUUGUUUCUA